ACGAUUGUCGGGGCCUCCGGGUCCCAACUCCAACCCUUUGUUUACCCCAAACGUUUGCUUCGGUGGGCCGGUGCCCCCGCGGCGCCGCCGGCCCUCGGGCUGGAGAGCGCCCACCGACGGCGGAUUCAAACUCGGUUUACACCCGUGACGUCUGAGUUAUUUUAUAAUGAAGCA
rnacentral:misc_RNA from 1 species